AUGAGAAAACAGAGGCUCGGAAAGCUACAGAGCCUUACCCAGGGUGACUCAGUGGUGAAGAUGGAGUCUCUCCCGGUAGCCCAGGCUGAGGUGCACUGGUGCAAUCUCUGCUCACUGCACCCUUCGUCUCCUGGGUUCAAGCAAUUCUUCUGCCUCAGCUUCCCGAGCAGCUGGGACUACAGGCGCGUGCCACCACACCCAGGGAGCACAGUGCUUGUCCAGACCCACCCAGCUGGGAGGGGACAGAGGAAGAAUUUGAGCCCAGAGUUGACCCAUCUCCAGCAAGGACAGAAAGACGAUGGGCAUCAUGCACAGCUCUCUGAAAGAACAGAGAUCCUGUUAACAGCAAGCCAUGUGUCUCUCAGGUCCCCCCAGCCACCUGCAGCCCAGCCAUGCUGCGUUAGAAACCACAGAUGCAACCCACGACCUCAUUCUACCGACUGAGAGCAGAGCCAGGGAAAAGCUGAGGAAACAGAGACCUGGAGACAUAUAUGCAAUUACCCUCAAGCGAGAGGUGAACUGGAUUCAGUCGACGCAGAUGUCUGGGGUGGGACCCUGAGAUGCUGCGUUGCUCACAAGCUCCCAGGUGAUGGGAAUGGACCUGGUCCAUGGGCUGCACAUGAAGCAGCAGAGAUGCAUCGAUGUGUCCAUUGAAUAGACACAGACCAGGAAGUCGACCUGCUGCCACCCCAGAACUGUGUCAUUUAUUUAUUCUGCCCAUAUGUAUUGGGUGUUUCUCCUUGCCAGGCAUUGUAUUGAGAUACUGUAGAAGACUAAAAGAUGAGACAGGCGUGCUCCCUGACCUGAUGGACUUUAGACCUAAAGCAAAUGAACUAAACUCUUACAAGUGUAAUAAGAGGGGCUUUGCUUACAGCACACAGAAGUACAUUAUAUUGUGCGGAUGGAUGUGAUGUGCAGAACGCCACUGGGCAAGAGACACGAGUCAGUGCAGCAGCGGCAGGAUAUUUGCAGACGGGCUUGAGUACCGGACCCUCACCUCUCUUGAGAGACUCUGAGAGUGGUAUACCUUGGCCUGCCCAUACCACUCUCCAUCCCCACAUCCUCCAGCUCAGGGACAUGUUUGAUCAGGCCUGCAUGAUCAAAACCACCCCCAACCACAGUAUGGACACUGACACCUAGCCCUCCGUUUACUGUGAGAGUUACUCUUUGGAUUGUUUUGAAUCGCAAAGGAUGUCAUUGACCCCAAUGCUACCCCAUCUUCACUGGUGCUCAGAAUUUUCUGGGCAUAUGGCUGCCAGAGUUGGCAAAUAAAAACACAAGAUGGCCAGUUAAAUGAGAAUUU
rnacentral:lncRNA from 13 species